rnacentral:lncRNA from 1 species
AUUUGCUUUGUCCAGGGGUCCUUGGUAUCCUCUUCACUGUCGAUUUUUUUUUUUUUUUAAUCAGUAUUUCAGCAUGGAGAUGUUGUAUAGUCCUGUGAAACAUGUCUUAAUGCAGAUAAUUAGAAUUUUCUGUAUUUAAGGUAUGUAUUAAACCUAAUUGUAGGUAAACUGUGCCAUUACUGCUUUCUCAGAGACCUGGGGCGUAAUAAAAAUACAUACCAGAAGCAGUCACAUACCAUGUCGAAGAAGCUACUCUAGGUUUGCUAUCUAUCCUAGUGCUGUGUUAAAUUUUGUCUGAGUUACUGACAGCUUUUAGUGAAUCUCUCAUGUUUCAAACCUGGGGGCCAUAUACAGUCUCUUGACCCUCACUUAGCAUCUACACACCUUCCUAAGAUAUCAGUAGCUGGUCUGAAAAUAAACUCCUAGGCGGGUGAAGGUAGUGCACAUCUUUAACCCAGUCACUGAGGCAAAGGCAGAUGAUUUCUGGGUUCUAGGCCAGCCUGGUCUGCACAGUGCAUUCCAGGACAGCGAGGGCUGUGUUUUUUGAGACCCUAUCUGGAAAAAAGGGGGAAAAUGAUAGUUUACAGCACCUUACUUAGGCCCAUUGGAUUAUGAACAAAGGUAUGUGGUUUGCUCAGUAUUUGAGUAAAGGUGCAGGUAUUGGGGAGCUCUUUUAGUACAGAUCUGGUUGUACAGAAAGUACACACACAAAUCUGUAAGAUGUUAAAUUGGUUAUUGAGUGUCUUACUUAAAGAGUUUUAAAUCUUGUCUUAAUGAAAAUGAUCUUUGCUCAACUGCUAUUUUUGUUGUCCCAUGUUAUUUGAGUACUUUUGGGCUGUGUUUAAUACUUAUUAAAGAAAUAGAAACUUAAGUUUUGCCCUGAGUUUGGUGGGAAGCAGGUACUGAUAUCUUAAAUGCCGUUGGUUUGGGGUACCAAUCGUAAGCAAGUGUUGGUGGAGAAGGGAGAGGUGAAUACCUCCUGAUAAUUGGAAUUGUAAGCUUUAGUGAACAGUCUUAACUGCUAACCCCUCUUCCAACAAACUGUUUGCUUCCUUAAGUGAUAACCAUUUUGAGGUGGACAUUAGCUGUAGAUGUAGAUGGACUCCUGCGCUAGGUGGUUGGGGGUUUUUGCCUCAGUGUGUCACUGAUCAGUCGUCCCUUUCAAAGUCUCCGAGUUCUUCAUGCUUGUUAUUGAGAUUUGAGAUGUUUUUUGGUAACAUUGUCUUUUUUCCAUCCUUUUUUUUCUUUCCUAACCUGGUUUCUUCCAGUGCAACUACAGAUAGAAGACCUGACUCGUAAACUGCGCACAGGAGACCUGGGCAUCCCCCCUAACCCUGAGGACAGGUUGGGAAACAGUUUUAACCAGCUGACAGUAACGCUUUUACCUUUUUUCUCAAUAUGUUUUUACUGGUGGCAACAUAUUGUGUCAGUUCAAUAACUCCUAGUUAAGACGACUGGUAUUCUGACCAGAGUAGACUAUAUGCUCAGUCAACAGUUAGAAAAGUUCUCUUAAUGGGAGAAUAAGUUAAAGAAAAUGGUUAACUGGUUUCUAAUUGGUAAGCAUAUAGGUUUUAACCUGGUAAUUUGCCCACCCCUAGGGACAGUGAGAGGUGGCCAUUAACCUGCCUUUUCACUGGCUGCUUUGGCUGAAAGCACAGGGGGU